UAGGCGUUUUAAAUCGCUCAAGAGUCGCUAUUUGUCGAAGUUUUAGACGCGAUUAUACAUAUCUUGAAUAUUUAUUUUAAUAAAACUAUUUACAAGAACUACAGCAGUCAAAUGUGGUAUCCAGACUAUUUUUUUUAAACACCUGUUCUCAGAGACUAACAAUACUUAGAGACAUAUUUCCCAAAUAGUAGAAGAAUGCUCUCCUCAAAAACCCAAAUAAACAUAUUCCCAACAAAAAAGUAAACCUAGUAACCCAUGCCCGAUGAAACCACAGUUUUCAAAUUUUGAUUUGUGUAAGAAUACUGGAAAAUAUCAGUCUAGCAACGGGAGUCAGCCCGACGACAUCAACACAAACACAUCGGAGCAGUUUUGUAAAUAUGUAAAUAUUUGUAAUUAGUUUUAAGUCUAAAGUGUGAAUUUAUUUUUAAGUUUUACAACAGUGUAUUCUUCGGAGUCGUACAGAGCAUACAGAUGCAGGGACAAAAUAUUAAGAGCAGUACAGCAGCAAACAGAACUCAGGAACAGUACACCAUUGUCCAGCAGUACCCAACCAGCCACAAAAAAUCAGCGAUCAAAACAAUGGAGCAUAAAACGAAUGAUAUAACCGAUGACGACUUGGAAACGACUCGGAUUUGAAGUGUGGAGUAGGCCUACUGGGGAUACCACGUAAAAAAAAAACGCGCCCAGAUCUUUACCAAAUGUUGGUGGUGUGGAAAAGAGUUCAUUAAACUGUCCAAAUAGAAACGUAUAGUACGAAUAAAUAAAGAAUGACAAAUUCA